UUAAACGCGACGAUUAGGAAAGUAGCACUUAAGCAAUUGUUCAGAGAGGUUCCGGUUGGUGAAAGGAAUUCAUAUUGCUAUCUUGUGAAAAUCCCCUAAUCACGGUAAGUGCGAUCAUUAUUUGUGAGUACUUAAUGGCAGCAUCCAUUAUCAUGCUAGCGCAUCGUCACUUAACUUACCGUGCGUGAAGUGAGGCCAGUUUACUGGCAAAUAAUAGGUGGUACCGCGGAAACGCCCUAUAU
rnacentral:ncRNA from 1 species